rnacentral:misc_RNA from 1 species
GUAUUAGAUUUCAGCUUGUCAAAAGCUUACUACAUAGAUCAUUCUGACAUGUUAUUGGUGUUUGAUAAAAACAUAGGCAAAUGAGAUUUCACAGAUUGCUCUGUGAACUUGCUUGCCUACUGGAGUGUGCACAGUGGGGUAAGAGAAGGAGAUUAUAGAGUGCACAUGCAAACCCUGUGAGGAGUGCCAGCACAUCUUUAAAUCAAUAAUGAUCCUUCCGCAGGUUCACCUACGGAAA